ACACGACUGCCACCGGGUAGGAAUGCACAGAGCAUUCGCCACACAUCGUUAGGUCUCAGAAGAUGUGUGCGGAUGCUUUUUUAUGC
rnacentral:ncRNA from 1 species